UGUUCUGAGGCGAAGUUGUUUAACGCACCUGGUCUAAUAAACUUGGGGAGUUUCGGGUUCAAAUCCCACCAGAACAA
rnacentral:tRNA from 1 species